rnacentral:rRNA from 1 species
GACGAACGCGGGCGGCGUGCCUAUACAUGCAAGUAGAACGCUGAAGAGAGGAGCUUGCUCUUUCUGGAUGAGUUGCGAACGGGUGAGUAACGCGUAGGUAACCUGCCUGGUAGCGGGGGAUAACUAUUGGAAACGAUAGCUAAUACCGCAUAAAAUCGAUUAUUGCAUGAUAAUUAAUUGAAAGAUGCAAUUGCAUCACUACCAGAUGGACCUGCGUUGUAUUAGCUAGUUGGUGAGGUAACGGCUCACCAAGGCGACGAUACAUAGCCGACCUGAGAGGGUGAUCGGCCACACUGGGACUGAGACACGGCCCAGACUCCUACGGGAGGCAGCAGUAGGGAAUCUUCGGCAAUGGGGGCAACUCUGACCGAGCAACGCCGCGUGAGUGAAGAAGGUUUUCGGAUCGUAAAGCUCUGUUGUAAGAGAAGAACGAGUGUGAGAGUGGAAAGUUCACACUGUGACG